GUGUUACAUGAAAGAGAAGCCUUGCAUUUCCCCAGACAAGGAUGGAAGAGACCCUCGGGCCUGACAACAUACCUAUGGCCUAGACUUCUCUUUUAGUAUCCAGCUCCAUCCAGUCCAUUCU
rfam:Fukomys damarensis contig126075, whole genome shotgun sequence.